GAUGAAAUGAGCAACUCCGUGUGCCCAGCGGAUGACAACGCACAGGGCCAGUCACCGCCCGGCUGUGCCCUCGCCCGCCAGCUCCUCCCCACAGCCUCCGGGUGGGCAGCUUCACGGACGCCACUUCACAGACAGUGAAGCUGAGGCCCCCGCUCCAGGCAGAGGUGGUAAGUAUCAUUUCCUACCCUUUCCGGGGUCAGAACAAGCACUGGACCGAGUCGGUGCUCUACUCAGAGAGGCUGCUCACCCUGCCCAGGACCCACGAGGAGGAAACAGCCACUGCCUGAACGCGGGGUUCAUGUAAACCCUACGCCGGCCGGCACGGCAGCUGGCCCACUCGGCCUCUCAAAAGCCAAAACCGUGGUCUGAGCUUGGGGGCUGCCCCAGGUUGGGCCCAGCUGCCUGCAGGGGGACGUGCCAGGACAGGAUGGCGAUGCCAGGAAGCCCCUUGGAAGCAAAACCUGAGGCCUGGGGAGGGACAGGCUGGUCCCCAGAUCCUGCAGACCCCCUGUGCAGCAGGGGAGUGAGGUUUGGGAGGGGGAGGGGGCAGGCCCCCGCGCGGAGGCUAAGCCACUGAAACCAGUAACUGCAGUUCGUGACACACCAGGCACACGUGGAGGCCGCCUCCUGAGAACACCCCGAUGGCAUCAGCAUCGCUUUAUUGUAUACAGGGAUGCUCCCAGGGUGGGAGGCCGCUGGACCAUUACUGGAGGAUGGCACAGCGGGCAGAGAUGGGGCGACCAGGCCAAGCUCCGGCUCUGUGACGUAACAGCCGCGUGAUGCCAGGAAACCGCAAGGCCACUUGGCCCCCCGGCUUCCUCCCCAGGCCAACAGGAGGUUGGUGCAGUGAGGUCCCGCUGCCCCUGAGGCCACGGAGGCAACCCCCUGACGUGCAGUUCUGGGGCCUGAGCAUCUCAGCUGAUGAGGGGAGACAGAGAAGGCAAGGAGAGAGCCUAACCUCUCACCCCAGUCUUGUCCUGGACACCCCACGUGCCCCACCCACCGUGACUUCCCGGGGAAGAGGACGUACCAAGGUGCCCAGCUGGUGGUCAGUGUGGCACCUCCCGGGGCCUCAGGGCCUUUACACCGCCUUUUCCUCCGCUGGGAAUGCCAUUCUCAGGGGACACAGGUUCGAUCCCUGGUCCGGGAAGAUCCCACAUGCCGCGGAGCAGCUAAGCCCGUGCGCCACAACUACCGAGCCUGUGCUCUAGAGCCCGUGAGCCACAAGUCCUGAAGCCCACGCACCUAGAGCCCCUGCUCUGCAACAAGAGAAGCCACUGCAAUGAGAAGCCUGUGCGCUGCAACUAGAGAGAGCCCGCGCACAGCAGCGAAGACCCAAUGCAGCCAAAAAUAAAUAAAUAAAUAAAAAUGUCACCUGGGACUUCCCUGGUGGUCUAGUGCUUAAGACGCCACGCUUCCACUGCAGGGGGGCACAGGUUCAAUCCGUGGUCGGGGAACUAAGUAAGAUCCUCCAUGCUGCGCGGU